ACAGCUCAUUACCAUCAUGCACCAAUAUUACUCCAAGCAGCAGCUGGAUCAGUAUCACGUGCUGCUACAUCCUGCUGUGAGAGAACAGAGAUAUUUAUCAUAAGAGGAAGGAAGCUUUUGCAUUGGUUUGACCUCUGCCGCUUUUACUGAACCUCAUGGUUGAGAAAGCAGUAUCUGUCACCCGACUACUUCCUGUUGGAGUCCACACCUCUGAGCUCUGCAGCCUCAGUCACCAGCCUUUUUUCUUUUUUUUUUGCUCUGCUGUCUGCAGAAUGAAUACGUGGGGUACUUUUUAGCUUCUGAGUCCAUCACACACUUUAGUUUACAGGCAUAUUAUCUAUGCUAAAAUAAUGAUUCAGUGUUCAGACUGCAGCCUACGUGUGGAGAGCUCUUAAUUUUCCAGUGAAAUAUUUUUACUAGUAUAAAACUGGCAUCUUCUUUACCUCCUACAACUCCUUCCCCUACCUGUGCACGUAUGUGAAUGAUUGUGCCUUCAUUCUCAUCCAGACCUUGCUUAUGCUUUCAUGUUGGAUCAGUCCCAGAUAGCAAUAACUCCUAUUAGUGAGCUUUUAAUCAAGCUGAAAACAACAGUAACAUCUAAACAUAAAAAGAUCUUUAUUAAAUGAAAACUGUUAAAUCUGGAGGAAAUGUUUUUGGACAUCUCUCACUACUCUAUCAAAUCAUGUUUAAAACACAGUUUGAAUAAUUCACACUGUUGAGAAUUGACAAAAAUGUGGGUUAUGCUAACUGUUUGAAAGGAGUGUGGGAUCAGAUGAUUUUUUUCCUUGCAGUCCCUCUGCUCUGACUAAAGCCCGCUUCCUGUCCUGCAGUGGGAAGAGGAAGAUCACACUCAUGGGGUCUCACCUUAACUUUGUUGAAGGGGUCUUCCACAGCCACGCAAUGCAGGAUGUCAGACUUCCCAGAAACAUCAGCUCUGAGUAUCUCACCUACAAUUCACCUGCAGCUGGGAGCAUUUCUAGCAGCACUAUGUUUGUCAAAGUAGCCAAUGAAACCUUGGCCUGCUCCAUUAAACUCCCCUACUAUCCAGACCCUGAGUUUACCAGCUUCACAGUUAUAAGGACAGGGGAAGAUGUGCGCAUCACCAUUCAG